AGAGUUUGAUCCUGGCUCAGGAUGAAUGCUGGCGGCGUGGAUAAGGCAUGCAAGUCGAACGGUCUUUUCUUUUGCGGGAGAUGAAACUUCGGUUGAUUCGAACAAAGUUGAAAAGGUAGUGGCAGACGAGCUAGUAACACCUUGGUACGUACUCGGAAGUCUGGCAUAGCCAUUCGAAAGGAUGGGUAAUACCAGAUAGUCUCGAAAGAGUAAAGAUUUAUCGCUUCCGAAGCGACCUAGGCCCGAUCAGUUUGUUGGUGAGGUAAUGGCUCACCAAGACUAUGACCGGUAGGGGGGCUGAGAGGCUGAUCCCCAGCGACGGCACUGAGAUACGGGCCGUACACCUACGGGUGGCAGCAGCCGAGAAUAUUCGUCAAUGGGCACAAGCCUGAACGAGCGACGCCGCGUGCAGGAAGAAGGUUUUCGGAUUGUAAACUGCUUUUCUAUGGGAAGAAUUCUGACGGUACCAUAGGAAUAAGGAGCUGCAAACUACGUGCCAGCAGCCGCGGUAAUACGUAGGCUCCAAGCAUUAUCCGGAUUUAUUGGGUGUAAAGGGUGCGUAGGGGGUUAUGUGCGUCUUUUGUUAAAUCUCACUGCUCAACGGUGAGGCAGCAGAGGAUACGGCAUAACUAGAGGAUACGAGAGGUCUGUGGAACACAUAGUGUAGGGGUAAAAUCCGUUGAUAUUAUGUGGAACACCAAAGGCGAAGGCAGCAGACUGGCGUAUUUCUGACCCUGAGGCACGAAAGCGUGGGGAGCAAAAAGGAUUAGAUACCCUUGUAGUCCACGCCCUAAACGAUGUCUACUAGCUAUUUCGAGUAUCGACCCUCGAAGUGGCGAAGCUAACGCGUUAAGUAGACCACCUGGGAAGUACGGCCGCAAGGCUAAAACUUAAAGGAAUAGACGGAGACUCGCACAAGCGGUGGAGCAUGAGGUUUAAUUCGAUACUAACCGAAACACCUCACCAGGGCUUGAAAUGUCUGUGGAAUUCUGACCGAAAGGUUGGAAGUCUCUCAAGGACCGCAGGCACAGGUGCUGCAUGGUCGUCGUCAGCUCGUGUCGUGAGAUGUUCCCUUAAGUGGGGUAACGAGCGCAACCCUUAUCCUGUGUUACAAGUGUCGCAGGAGACUGCCCUGUUUUCGGGGAGGAAGGAGAGGAUGGCGUCAGAUCAGCAUGGCCCUUUGAUACCCUGGGCCACACUCAUGCUACAAUGGAUAAUACAACGGGUUGCCAAGCCGCGAGGCGGAGCUAAUCCUUCAAAAUUAUCCCCAGUUCGGAUCGGAGUCUGCAAUUCGACUCCGUGAAGCCGGAAUCGCUAGUAAUCGCGAAUCAGCAAGUCGCGGUGAAUACGUUCUCGAGUCUUGUACUCACUGCCCGUCAAGCCAAGGGAGCCGGGAGGAGGUGAAGUUUCAUUUUUAGUGAAAUUAGCUUCAAUUCGGUAACAUGGGCUAAGUCGUAACAAGGC
rnacentral:rRNA from 1 species